rnacentral:rRNA from 1 species
CUACGGGCGGCAGCAGUGAGGAAUAUUGGUCAAUGGACGCAAGUCUGAACCAGCCAUGCCGCGUGCAGGAUGACGGCCCUAUGGGUUGUAAACUGCUUUUAUUAAGGAAUAAACCCCAUUACGUGUAAUGGGCUGAACGUACUUAAAGAAUAAGCAUCGGCUAACUCCGUGCCAGCAGCCGCGGUAAUACGGAGGAUGCAAGCGUUAUCCGGAUUCAUUGGGUUUAAAGGGUUCGCAGGCGGCGUAUUAAGUCAGUGGUGAAAUCCCCCGGCUCAACCGGGGAACUGCCAUUGAUACUGGUAUGCUAGAGUAUAGUUGGCGUAGGCGGAAUAUUUCAUGUAGCGGUGAAAUGCUUAGAUAUGAAAUAGAACACCGAUCGCGAAGGCAGCUUACGAAACUAUAACUGACGCUCAGGAACGAAAGCGUGGGGAGCGAACAGGAUUAGAUACCCUAGUAGUC